AUCCCGCUGACGAGUCCCGAAUAGGACGAAACGUGCGUCCUGGAU
rnacentral:hammerhead_ribozyme from 1 species